rnacentral:rRNA from 1 species
AGGACGAACGCUGGCGGCGUGCUUAACACAUGCAAGUCGAGCGGAAAGGCCCUUCGGGGUACUCGAGCGGCGAACGGGUGAGUAACACGUGAGCAACUUGCCCCUGGCUCUGGGAUAGCCUCCGGAAACGGGGAUUAAUACCGGACAUUCACUUCCUUCCGCAUGGUUGGUGGUGGAAAGUUUUUUCGGCCGGGGAGGGGCUCGCGGCCUAUCAGCUUGUUGGCGGGGUAACGGCCCACCAAGGCGACGACGGGUAGCCGGCCUGAGAGGGCGACCGGCCACACUGGGACUGAGACACGGCCCAGACUCCUACGGGAGGCAGCAGUGGGGAAUAUUGCGCAAUGGGCGGAAGCCUGACGCAGCGACGCCGCGUGGGGGAUGAAGGCCUUCGGGUUGUAAACCCCUUUCACCAGGAGCGAAUCCAGACGGUACCUGGGGAAGAAGCGCCGGCUAACUACGUGCCAGCAGCCGC